GGGAAGUAGUCUGCAGUCUCUACUUGGAAGAAGGGAGUUUCCAUUGACUCCAACAGGGCACUCAGAAUGUCUGAAAAUCAACCAUUUAUAACUAGGUUGGUGAGUUUUAUCUGGGCCAUCGGAGGCUACCUCUACCUUUAUGGCUCUGGAGCUGCUCACAGACUGUCAGGUGAAGAUUGAAAUCUUCAGCAACAAAUGCUGACCCCCUACUGCCUGCUAUGGCAUUGUUUACUGGAAACUGGCAAUGGUUCUCUGGCAUUCUGCCUGAAUAAGGAAGAACAUCUGCAGAGAUAA